rnacentral:rRNA from 1 species
AACGUAGGUCCCGAGCGUUAUCCGGAUUUACUGGGCGUAAAGGGCGCGUAGGCGGCCUUCUAAGUCGAACGUGAAAUCCCCGGGCUCAACCCGGGAACUGCGUCCGAUACUGGGAGGCUUGAAUCCGGGAGAGGGAUGUGGAAUUCCAGGUGUAGCGGUGAAAUGCGUAGAUAUCUGGGGGAACACCGGUGGCGAAGGCGGCAUCCUGGACCGGUAUUGACGCUGAGGCGCGAAAGCUAGGGGAGCAAACGGGAUUAGAUACCCGAGUAGU